CAGCUCUCCGAGUGGUAGGGAUGAUUAUUGGGCUUAAAGCGUCCGUAGCCGGCUUAGCAAGUCUCCUGUUAAAUUCAGCGACCUAAUCGUUGACCCGCGAGAGAUACUACUAGGCUAGGAGGCGGGAGAGGUCGACGGUACUUCUGGGGUAGGGGUGAAAUCCUAUAAUCCCAGGAGGACCACCAGUGGCGAAGGCUGUCGACUAGAACGCGCUCGACGGUGAGGGACGAAAGCUGGGGGAGCGAACCGGAUUAGAUACCCGAGUAGUCC
rnacentral:rRNA from 1 species